GACGAACGCUGGCGGCGUGCUUAACACAUGCAAGUCGAACGGAAAGGCCCUGCUUUUGUGGGGUGCUCGAGUGGCGAACGGGUGAGUAACACGUGAGUAACCUGCCCUUGACUUUGGGAUAACUUCAGGAAACUGGGGCUAAUACCGGAUAGGAGCCCCUGCUGCAUGGUGGGGGUUGGAAAGUUUCGGCGGUUGGGGAUGGACUCGCGGCUUAUCAGCUUGUUGGUGGGGUAGUGGCUUACCAAGGCUUUGACGGGUAGCCGGCCUGAGAGGGUGACCGGCCACAUUGGGACUGAGAUACGGCGCAGACUCCUACGGGAGGCAGAAGUGGGGAGUAUUGCACAAUGGGCGGAAGCCUGAUGCAGCAACGCCGCGUGCGGGAUGACGGCCUUCGGGUUGUAAACCGCUUUCGCCUGUGACGAAGCGUGAGUGACGGUAAUGGGUAAAGAAGCACCGGCUAACUACGUG
rnacentral:rRNA from 1 species